rnacentral:Y_RNA from 1 species
GGCUUGUCCAGAGGUAACACAUUAUCUCAAUUGAUUGUUCACAGUCGCAGAUCGAACUUCUGUUUACUCUUUUCCUCCUUCUCACUAUUGCACUUGACUAGUCUUAA